UACGGGGGGGCAAGCGUUGUUCGGAAUUACUGGGCGUAAAGGGCUCGUAGGCGGCCAACUAAGUCAGACGUGAAAUCCCUCGGCUUAACCGGGGAACUGCGUCUGAUACUGGAUGGCUUGAGUUUGGGAGAGGGAUGCGGAAUUCCAGGUGUAGCGGUGAAAUGCGUAGAUAUCUGGAGGAACACCGGUGGCGAAGGCGGCAUCCUGGACCAACACUGACGCUGAGGAGCGAAAGCCAGGGGAGCAAACGGGG
rnacentral:rRNA from 1 species